rnacentral:rRNA from 1 species
GGGGAGCAUUACAUGCAGUCGAGGGGCAUCGGGAGGGAAGCUUGCUUUCCUUGCCGGCGACCGGCGCACGGGUGAGUCCUUGUAUGCAACCUGCCCUCUUCAGGGGGACAACCUUCCGAAAGGGAGGCUAAUCCCGCGUAUAUCGGUUUCGGGCAUCCGGGAUCGAGGAAAGAUUCAUCGGAAGAGGAUGGGCAUGCGGCGCAUUAGCUUGACGGCGGGGUAACGGCCCACCGUGGCGACGAUGCGUAGGGGUUCUGAGAGGAAGGUCCCCCACACUGGUACUGAGACACGGACCAGACUCCUACGGGAGGCAGCAGUGGGGAAUAUUGGUCAAUGGGAGAGAUCCUGAACCAGCCAAGCCGCGUGAGGGAAGACGGCCCUAUGGGUUGUAAACCUCUUUUGUCGGAGAACAAAACCCGGGACGUGUCCCGGACUGCGUGUAUCCGAAGAAAAAGCAUCGGCUAACUCCGUGCCAGCAGCCGCGGUAAUACGGAGGAUGCGAGCGUUAUCCGGAUUUAUUGGGUUUAAAGGGUGCGUAGGCGGUCCGUUAAGUCAGCGGUAAAAUUGCGGGGCUCAACCCCGUCGAGCCGUUGAAACUGGCAGACUUGAGUUGGCGAGAAGUACGCGGAAUGCGCGGUGUAGCGGUGAAAUGCAUAGAUAUCGCGCAGAACCCCGAUUGCGAAGGCAGCGUACCGGCGCCAGACUGACGCUGAGGCACGAAAGCGUGGGGAUCGAACAGGAUUAGAUACC